rnacentral:rRNA from 1 species
AUUGAACGCUGGCGGCAGGCCUAACACAUGCAAGUCGAGCGGAAACGAGUUGUCUGAACUUUCGGGGAACGAUAGCGGCGUCGAGCGGCGGACGGGUGAGUAAUGCCUAGGAAAUUGCCUGAUGUGGGGGAUAACCAUUGGAAACGAUGGCUAAUACCGCAUGAUGCCUACGGGCCAAAGAGGGGGACCUUCGGGCCUCUCGCGUCAGGAUAUGCCUAGGUGGGAUUAGCUAGUUGGUGAGGUAAGGGCUCACCAAGGCGACGAUCCCUAGCUGGUCUGAGAGGAUGAUCAGCCACACUGGAACUGAGACACGGUCCAGACUCCUACGGGAGGCAGCAGUGGGGAAUAUUGCACAAUGGGCGCAAGCCUGAUGCAGCCAUGCCGCGUGUGUGAAGAAGGCCUUCGGGUUGUAAAGCACUUUCAGUCGUGAGGAAGAUAGUGUAGUUAAUAGCUGCAUUAUUUGACGUUAGCGACAGAAGAAGCACCGGCUAACUCCGUGCCAGCAGCCGCGGUAAUACGGAGGGUGCGAGCGUUAAUCGGAAUUACUGGGCGUAAAGCGCAUGCAGGUGGUUUGUUAAGUCAGAUGUGAAAGCCCGGGGCUCAACCUCGGAAUUGCAUUUGAAACUGGCAGACUAGAGUACUGUAGAGGGGGGUAGAAUUUCAGGUGUAGCGGUGAAAUGCGUAGAGAUCUGAAGGAAUACCGGUGGCGAAGGCGGCCCCCUGGACAGAUACUGACACUCAGAUGCGAAAGCGUGGGGAGCAAACAGG